rnacentral:rRNA from 1 species
GGUGGAUGCCUUGGCAACAGGAGCCGAAGAAGGACGUGGGAAUCUGCGAUAAGCCUGGUGGAGUUGAUAACCGAGCGUUUGAUACCAGGAUUUCCGAAUGGGGUAACCCCGCAUGCAUUGCUUCGGUGAUGUGUGUGACCGCUGGUUGAAUGUAUAGGCCAGUUGGAGGGAACGCGGGGAAGUGAAACAUCUCAGUACCCGUAGGAGGAGAAAAUAAUAAUGAUUCUGCUAGUAGUGGCGAACGAACGUGGAUGAGGCUAAACCGUGUGCGUGUGAUACCUGGCAGGGGUUGCGUGUGCGGUGUUGUGGGGUGUGGCUGGUCGUGUUCUGCCAGAUACGUCCACAUGGUGUGUGUGUAAGCGGAAGUGGUCUGGGAUGGCCUACCGGAGUAGGUGAGAGUCCUGUACGCGAAUG